CCGGCGCACGGGUGAGUAACACGUAUCCAACCUGCCGUCUACUCUUGGACAGCCUUCUGAAAGGAAGAUUAAUACAGGAUGGCAUCAUGAGUCCGCAUGUUCACAUGAUUAAAGGUAUUCCGGUAGACGAUGGGGAUGCGUUCCAUUAGAUAGUAGGCGGGGUAACGGCCCACCUAGUCUUCGAUGGAUAGGGGUUCUGAGAGGAAGGUCCCCCACAUUGGAACUGAGACACGGUCCAAACUCCUACGGAAGGCAGCAG
rnacentral:rRNA from 1 species